GACUAAGGUUCGACUCGAGCGCCAGCGAGAGAGCAUUGCCGCAGGCAACGACCCGUAGGGCGAAGCGCGCAGCGCUGAGUAAUCCUUCCCCCACCACCA
rnacentral:sRNA from 2 species